GACGAACCGAGCGAACGUUGUUCGGAAUCACUGGGCUUAAAGGGCGCGUAGGCGGGCUGUCAAGUCUGGGGUGAAAUCCCGCGGCUCAACCGCGGAACUGCCUCAGAUACUGACGGUCUCGAGGGGGGUAGGGGCGAGCGGAACUGAUGGUGGAGCGGUGAAAUGCGUUGAUAUCAUCAGGAACUCCGGUGGCGAAGGCGGCUUUCUGGACGGUAACUGACGCUGAGACGCGAAAGCGUGGGGAGCAAACAGG
rnacentral:rRNA from 1 species